rnacentral:misc_RNA from 1 species
GGUUUUUGAAUGUGGCCUUCUGUGUUGCUUCACUUUUUUCACUAAUUUUACUAACAGCUGAAGCUAGAAUCCCUGGUGUUUUUACUGCCGGAGCAUGGCAGAGUGCUCAUGCUACCUUUUAUGGCGGAAGCGACGCUUCUGGUACUAUGGGUGGAGCGUGUGGGUAUGGUAACCUAUACAGUCAGGGAUACGGAGUGAACAAUGGAGCACUUAGCACAGCGCUAUUCAACAAUGGACUGAGUUGUGGAGCGUGUUUUGAGAUCAAAUGUGACAACUACCCACAAUGGUGCCAUCCCGGAAGUCCUUCCAUCUUCAUUACUGCUACGAACUUCUGCCCUCCCAACUUUGCUCUCCCAAACGACAACGGCGGUUGGUGUAACCCUCCUCGCCCUCAUUUCGACCUCGCCAUGCCUAUGUUCCUCCAUAUCGCGGAGUACCGUGCCGGAAUUGUCCCCGUCGUUUAUCGCCGG